rnacentral:rRNA from 1 species
GCCCUAGUAACGGCGAGUGAAGCGGCAACAGCUCAAAUUUGAAAUCUGGCGUCUUUGGCGUCCGAGUUGUAAUUUGCAGAGGGCGCUUUGGCAUUGGCAGCGGUCCAAGUUCCUUGGAACAGGACGUCACAGAGGGUGAGAAUCCCGUACGUGGUCGCUAGCCUUUACCGUGUAAAGCCCCUUCGACGAGUCGAGUUGUUUGGGAAUGCAGCUCUAAAUGGGAGGUAAAUUUCUUCUAAAGCUAAAUACUGGCCAGAGACCGAUAGCGCACAAGUAGAGUGAUCGAAAGAUGAAAAGCACUUUGGAAAGAGAGUUAAAAAGCACGUGAAAUUGUUGAAAGGGAAGCGCUUGCAGCCAGACUUGCCUGUAGUUGCUCAUCCGGGUUUUUACCCGGUGCACUCUUCUAUAGGCAGGCCAGCAUCAGUUUGGGCGGUUGGAUAAAGGUCUCUGUCAUGUACCUCUCUUCGGGGAGAACUUAUAGGGGAGACGACAUGCAACCAGCCUGGACUGAGGUCCGCGCAUCUGCUAGGAUGCUGGCGUAAUGGCUGUAAGCGGCCCGUCUUGAAACACGGACCAAGGAGUCUAACAUCUAUGCGAGUGUUUGGGUGUCAAGCCCGAGCGCGUAAUGAAAGUGAACGGAGGUGGGAACCUUUCGGGGUGCACCAUCGACCGAUCCUGAUGUCUUCGGAUGGAUUUGAGUAAGAGCAUAGCUGUUGGGACCCGAAAGAUGGUGAACUAUGCUUGAAUAGGGUGAAGCCAGAGGAAACUCUGGUGGAGGCUCGCAGCGGUUCUGACGUGCAAAUCGAUCGUCAAAUUUGG